ACUGGAACUUGCUUUGUAGACCAGGCUGGACUUGAACUCAGAAAUUCACCUGCCUCUGCCUCCCCAGUGCUGGGACCCCAGGCACUCACUGGCGUUUCGCUAUGGUGGAGUAGACUUCUCUAUGUGCUCCUUGCAGUCUUUCUCUUCUAGUUGGGUAACUCCCUUUGGAUUCCAUAAAUGGGACUUGUUUGAUUCCUAAUCUUUCACAAGAGAAAAGCUGACUUGGCCUAAAAAGUUGUUUGUGUAAAACUUCUUAGAUCACUGGGGAAAUAGUUAAGAGUUUAAAAACCUAGAUUUAUGCAAUGUAACCAGCUGAUUUAAAGAGCUCAGAUGGGUGGUACCCAGCAGCCGUGGGCCCAGGACCUAUUGAAAAGUCUAUUGCUUGCUAAGGUGGUCACGUGACUAUGUUCUGACUCUUGCGGCUGUGUAGAUUGCUGUGUGGAAGCUUGUGAGAGCAACGUUCUAGCUACAGUGGUGGAGCCUGAGGAUGGGACCAAGUCAUGGAGAAGGCAGAGCGGCGAGCUGGGUCUCUGAGGCUUCCCCAUAUCCUCCCUGUAUGCUGUAUAUCUGCAGUGCAUGUAGCUAUAAGGAAUCAGAGCUGGGAGGAGACUGAAGCUGGUGCCUGCCUGCCUGCCAGCCAGAGGGCGUGCGUGCCUCAGGAAAAGACACCUCACACAAUCCUGACAGCUUCAGAUCCUGGCCUGUGAUGAAGAUGUGUGAAGCAAUGUCAGACUGGUCUAUCGGACUCUGGCAGCCAGGGGAUAUCUGUGCUCUUCUCGAGUGGAGUGCCCACAGAGGCCAGAAGAUGGUGUUGGAUCACUGGGAGCUGGAGUGAUGGAGAUUCUGAGCUGCCUUACGUGGAGGUUGGGAGCGGAGCCCAGAUCCUCUGUAAGAGCAGCAAUUGCUUGUCACCCCCAGAUGUCCCUGUAGCCCCAGAGUGUGUCUGUUUUAACAAGGCAUUCCAGCCAGGUACUGAACACAGGGCUUAAGGUCCACAUUGUUGACCAGCCAAGCUGAUGUUGCAGAAUGCCCGAACCUGUACUGAGGUCAUCACUAUCAGCCAUAAAUAAAUACUUGAA